GCGUGAGGACGACCUCCCCGAAUUGGACAACAGCCGGGACGACCCGG
rnacentral:ncRNA from 1 species